UCGCACUUGACGUUGGUGAUUUGCUGGAAGGAAGAAGUCUCAUCGGAGGCAAAUAUGACCAAGCGAGUUUUUAGACCUCUCCAGGUAAACUAAUCCUCCCAUUCGCAAAGGUUUUCUGUACCAUAGAGAUGACUGAAUUGGGUGACUCGUCGACAUAGUACAACCAAUCAAUAGGCAUCAGCUGGAUGGAUGUGUACGAUCCAGCCUUGGAGGACAGAACGUCUGAGAUCUGUGUAAUGAACGUGGCAUGAAGAUAAAAGAUGGACAUAUUUGGGGGAUUACUAAUCAUUUUUCCAGCCAGUUUUAUUGCCAUCAUAUCAGAUGGGUGCCUUCAUGUGCAGACUUCCGCAUGCCGUACCACAGUUCCUCUCCAGCCCAGCAAAAUCCACCCAAAAUUCAUGAAGGCUGGUGGGCAUACAAGGAGGUGGUACAGGGAAGCUUUGUGCCAGUGCCAUCUUUCUGGGGUCUGGUAAACUCAGCUUGGAACUUGUGCUCAGUGGGGAAGAGGCAAUCACCAGUCAACAUUGAGACCAGCCACAUGAUCUUUGACCCUUAUCUUACAUCCAUGAAACUGAACACUGGUGGACAAAAGGUGAGGGGGACAAUGUAUAACACAGGUCGCCAUGUUUCUGUGCGAUUGGACAAGGAGCAUCUGGUUAAUAUCUCUGGUGGGCCUAUGAUGUACAGCCAUCGUCUGGAGGAGAUUCGGCUACACUUUGGUAGCGAAGACAAUCAGGGCUCUGAACAUCUGCUGAAUGGACAGGCUUUCUCUGGAGAGUAUGCUCUUUACAUGGUGCUUGGGGGAGAUUUUGACUUCACAAUGGUUCAGCUGAUUCACUACAAUCACGAGUUGUAUACUAAUUAUACUGAAGCUGCCAAAAGCCCUAAUGGACUAGUCAUCGUGUCCAUAUUCAUGAAAUGCUCCUUCCGUGCUUCCCGCCUCGCUGUUCUCUCCUGCCACGCCGCCAAGUUCUUCCACCUGCUUAUGCCACCGCUUCCUGCACGUUCCUUGUCCCGACAGUCCACCAUCAUGCCUUGGAGAUCCCACUCUGAACUAUUAAAAGAUAAACCAUUCUCCACAACUUCUUCUGCCUCCGUCUGCUUCUGGGUCCAGUCAACCCUGAUACAAUUGUAUCCUGACAGAAUACUCUGGCCAUCAUGGACCCAGCAAACCCAGAGCUGCUAAGAGAAGCACUCACCCACCAACACGCCCCACAUUGGAAGACAGGACAUUAAAACACCCACUUUCACCAACCAUCCCUCUUUCUUCCCAAAUGCACAUCGGCCACCCUCCCGAGUAUUCCUUCAGAGCCCGCACCCUCGGAUCAAUCCCACCUCCUGUAAAAAGAGCCUCAUGUUCUUCCGCCCAAGCCAUACUCCGGGGACUUGGGUUCAUGGAGCCAAUUCCGCUUAAAUUGCUCCCUAGUAUUCAAACUGCAACCGUUGAGCUACCUUGCUGAACAAUCCAAGGUUGCAUUUGUCAACAACCUCCUACGCGGAAAAGCUCCUAAAUGGGCAACCGCGCUAUGGCAUAAUUUCUCCCCGGUACUCAUGUCAUUUGACUCCUUUUCCGCCGAGCUUAAAAAGGUCUUCGACCACCCCACUCGACGCCUCCUUACACUCACUCAGGGCUCUAGUUCCGUGGCAUCCUAUUCUGUUGAAUUUAGAAUUCUUGUGGGUGAGUGUGGGUGGGAUGACGCCGCCCUAAGGGGUAUUUUUUUAAAGGGCUUUCGGAGCAGCUCAAGGACGAGCUCGCAGCCAGGGACAAGCCCUCCACACUCGAGGACCUAAUUUUGUUUUCCAUUCACCGAGACAAUCGUUUGUGGGAAAGAGCACGGCAGAGGGGAAUAAGAGCUCGUAGAUAAGUAUCCACCGCGGGCAUAGUGCCAUUAGCAAUUCCGCCGCAUCCUGAACUCCCGACCGCCUCCUCAUCACCCCCACUGCAUUGGGUGAGCCCAUGCAACUCGGUAACACCAGAUUCGACCCUCAGGAACGUCAGCGCCAUUUACAACCAAAGAUUGUGUAUCUAUUGUGGCCAACCAGGCCACUUCAUUGCCAGAUGCUCCAUAAGACCAAAAGACCGGGCUUGCCAUAACCUGAGAGCGCCGUGGUGAGCCAAACCAACACCUCCCCGAGUUCUCCCUCCCGUAUGACCGUUCCCGCUUGUAUUCUUGGUCCCGUUUGCAACACACCAGUAACAGCCCUCAUUGACUCCGGCACAGAUGAUAGUUUUAUUCAUGAGGGUUUAGCACGUCAGCUCCAACUCCCAAAAAUGGUCACAGCCCUAGAUGUGUGACUCAUCUCCCCUGUCACCCACCAAACAGCUGUGUUUACUCUAAUCAUCUCAGGUAAUUACCGGGAAACCAUCCAGCUUUUUGUUAUUCCCUCCCCUGUGACUCUGUUAGUCCUCGGAAUCCCCUGGCUCAUGAAGCACAACCCGCCAUCGUUUGGACCCACCUAUCGAUCACCGGGUAGAGUCCUCACUGCCAUUCACAUUGUCUGCUUUCUGCCAUGCCGCCUUCCUGCAAACCUCAAACAUCUGCCACACAGGUCGACCUCUCCCGGGUGCUGGAAGAAUAUCACGACCUCUCUCCUGUUUUCAGGAAAGAUCUUGUCAUUUCACUACCCCCUCACCGCCCUUAUGACUGUGCGAUCGAUCUCCUGCCGGGAGCCCCUCUCCCCUCCACCCGACUCUUCAACCUUUCCCGCCCUGAGAAAAAGGCUAUGGAGGACUAUAUCCGUGACUCCCUUGCUUCUGGACUCAUCCGGGCCUCUUCUUCCUCCAUGGGGGCUGGCUUCUUCUUUGUUGAGAAAAAAGAUACCACUCUCCGCCCCUGCAUCGAUUACCGUGGACUCAAUGACAUCACCAUAAAAAAUAAAUCUCCAUUGCCCCUUAUUGACCCCUCAUUUGAACCCCUCUGCGACACCCAGAUAUUCACCAAAUUGGAUCUACGCAAAGCAUACCACCUCAUGCGCAUUAGAGAAGGGCAUGAAUGGAAAACUGCUUACAAUACCCCCCUUGGACACUUAGAAUACCAGGUCAUGCCUUUUGGAUUAACCAACGCUAUUCCUCUCAUUAGCCUUACCUACACCAGCUCUCCAUUCCAGUGGACCCUGCUGCAUCACAAGCCUUCGAGCGCCUAAAAGAAUUAUUCACAAGCGCCCCCAUCCUGAGACACCCCGACCCCUCCCUCAAGUUCUUUGUGGAGGUCGACGCCUCUGACACUGGGGCAGUGGCCGUUCUCCCCCAGCGGAACACCGAAUCCUAGAAACUACAUCCUUGUGCCUUUUUCUCCAGUCGUCUGUCUCCACCCGAGUGAAUUGUGACGUAGGAAGUGGUGAGCGGCUGGCCAUCGUCUGGGCAUUGGAGGAAUGGAGGGCCACUUCUGGUGGCCCAGCCUGGUGAAAGACACCCAGGAGUUUGUCCGAGCCUGCUCCGUCUGUGCCCGAGGGAAGACUUCACAACUGCCCCCAGCUGGUCUGCUGCGCCCCUUACCUGUCCCGAGCCGCCCCUGGUCCCACAUUGCCUUGGACUUCGUAACCGGCCUACCUCCCUCUGAAGGUAAUACUAUCAUUCUUCUUAUUAUUGAUCGAUUCUCCAAGUAUGUCCGUAAUCUACCCCUUCCCAAAUCACCAUCUGCCUUUGAGACCGCUAAACUCCUUGUCAGUCACGUCUUUAAACUCCAGGGAAUGCCCAUUGACAUCGUCUCAGACCGAGGUCCUCAGUUCUCCCAGGUAUGGAGGGAGUUCUGUAAGGCGGUGGGCGCAGCAGCCAGUCUGUCUUCUGGGUACCAUCCACAGCCCAACGGCCAGACAGAGCGGGCAAAUCAGACUCUGGAGUCGGCUCUUCGCUGCGUUGCCACAUGCAAUCCCACCUCCUGGAGCGCCUUUCUCCCAUAGAUUGAAUAUGCUCACAACUCCCUCACCAGCUCCGACACAGGUAUGUCUCCUUUAAGGACGUGUUAUGGUUUCCAACCUCUGUUGUUUAAGGAACAGGAGCAUACGGUGGCGUUUCCCGCGGUGAGGGACCACCAUCUCUCAAGAUCCAUCCGAUGCUCUUAGUUAGCCCUGCGGCCCUGAACAACCCCCCCCCCCCCCCCCCCGUGUUAUAGAUGACCAUCUGCCUUCACAGUGUCACUCAACCUUGAUGUGAGGCCCAGGGGCAGGGGUUACCAGUUUCUUGUGGACUUGGAGGGGUAUGGUCCGGAGGAACACUCCUGGAUCUCCCGCAAGCUUAUUCUUGAUGUCUCCCUGAUUAGGGACUUUUACACGGCUCACCCUGGGAAGCCCUACAGCUGUGCCAGAAGAUGUCCAUUGAGGGGGGGGGGGGGGGGGUUACUGUCAUGGUCUGUGCCCUGCAGUACCUUUGUUGGGGCUUGGGUGCCGCUUUGGGCCCCUCUUGCCCUCUCUCUCCCUCUCUCUCUCUUCCCAGUAAUCAGUACCAACUCGGCGCACCUGUUGUCAAUCAGCAUUCAACAUUGUCUGCAUUUAAGCCUGCCAGAGCCAGGAUUCCACCGCCAGAAUAUUAACGUUCAUCUGUGGUACACCGGCUCUCUCCUUGCACGUGGCUGAAACAUCUAACAGUUUCCUGAAUCGAUUGCUAAACAGAGACAGCAUCACAAGAGUAACAUAUAAAAAUGAUGCUUAUCUUCUGACAGGACUAAACAUAGAGGAGAUCUAUCCAGACACAAGUAGU